GAGGGUAUAGCUCAGCUCAGUGGUAGAGUGCAUGCCUAACAUGCAUGAGGUCCUGGUUUCAAUCCCCAGUACCUCCA
rfam:Camelus ferus unplaced genomic scaffold scaffold1030, whole genome shotgun sequence.